AGCUGGCAGCGUACAGCUAUCUGGUUUCUUUUGGUCUAAGGAAAGAUUGCCAUCUAUUGGAUGACCUUGGAAACGAAUGGGUUUUUACUAUGUAUGUAAUCUGUAAUUCAAAAAAAUAAUAAUAAAAAAAAAAAAAUAAAAAUAAUAAAACACACACACACACAAAGAAAAGUACCAUAAUGAAAUUGAAGACUUUGAACUUAAAUAGUAUACAUUAUGAUCAUGAAACAGGAGAACAACUGCCAUCGUCUCAAAACUGAGAUUUUAAAUUCCAGAAUAAUUUACAUUAUAUGAAAGCAAUAGCUAUUUGCUUUAGAAUGAACUAAAUACUGAAUGUCUGUAUAUACAGUAAUAUUUGCUAGCAGUUUAAAUGUUUUGCAGAAUACUGAAUCCAAGUUUCUUUAUUUAACUUUACUGAAAUAUAAGGAAAGAGUUUUAAACCAGGUUUUAAUAUAUUUGUAGCAUAUAUUCCUCUCAAGAUUUGGGAACAGAAUGAUGCUCUUCUCCUGCAAACAAUAUUUGUCCAGCUUUCACAGACUGUUGCACUGCAUUACAUUUAAAACAAAGAUAUCGCUUGGCUUGGGUUUAAAAUGUAAUGCUUUUUUUUUUUUUUCAUAUAUAUCUUUCAGCCCAAGAACUUGCCAGUCAAGAUGAAAAACUUCUUCUAAUGGAAUCCAGCUUGAAAGCAACUCAAGAGCAGCUAAGUGAGCAAAUAGCAGAAACAGUUCACCAAGAACAGAACAGUAGAAAAUCACAGACAGAGCUGAAGACCCUGAGAGAACAUAUUAUAACAUCUGAAGAAGAAAUUAGUGAUUACAAGACGGCACAAUGAUAUGCCAUGAUAUUACCAUCCUGCCAAUAGAGGAAGAUAGAUCAACAUGGACGAUCAACACCAUCUUGCUGAAAUGGAUGAGAGCAAGCACAGGCUUUUUGGCUAAUAGCAAAACAGGAAGAAGAGAUGGGCCAGACACAGAAAAAACACUGCUAUGUAAAGGAGGAGCCCUUAGAAGAACAGUCUCAUUGCUGGGCGGCUAUGCUGCAGUGCAAAAACUAAUAAAAUGCCCCAGUACUCAGUAG
rnacentral:lncRNA from 1 species